UACGUAGGGGGCUAGCGUUGUCCGGAUUUAUUGGGCGUAAAGAGCGUGUAGGCGGCCAGGUAGGUCUGGUGUGAAAACUCGAGGCUUAACCUCGAGAUGUCAUCGGAAACCAUCUGGCUAGAGUCCGGAAGAGGAGAGUGGAAUUCCUGGUGUAGCGGUGAAAUGCGCAGAUAUCAGGAAGAACACCAGUGGCGAAAGCAGCUCUCUGGGACGGUACUGACGCUGAGACGCGAAAGCGUGGGGAGCGAACAGG
rnacentral:rRNA from 1 species